UACGGAGGGUGCGAGCGUUGUCCGGAAUCACUGGGCGUAAAGGGCGCGUAGGCGGCCGGAGAAGUCGGUGGUGAAAGCUCGGGGCUCAACUCCGAGUCGGCCACCGAUACUGUUCGGCUCGAGUUUGGUAGAGGCAGAUGGAAUUCCGGGUGUAGCGGUGGAAUGCGUAGAGAUCCGGAAGAACACCGGUGGCGAAGGCGGUCUGCUGGGCAGCUGCUGACGCUGAUGCGCGACAGCGUGGGGAGCAAACAGG
rnacentral:rRNA from 1 species